rnacentral:rRNA from 1 species
GAUGAACGCUGGCGGCGUGCUUAACACAUGCAAGUCGAACGGGAUCCUUGGAUUCGUCUGAGGUGAGAGUGGCGAACGGGUGAGUAACACGUUGGUGACCUGCCCCAAAUCGGGGAAUAACUGCUGGAAACGGUAGCUAAUACCCCAUGUGAUCCGGAGAUUUGGAUAUCUCGGGAUGAAAGCUUUUGCGCUUUGGGAGGGGCCUGCGGCCCAUCAGCUAGUUGGUAGGGUAAUGGCCUACCAAGGCGAAGACGGGUAGGGGCGUGAGAGCGUGACCCCCCACACUGGCACUGAGAUACGGGCCAGACUCCUACGGGAGGCUG